rnacentral:rRNA from 1 species
GGUUAAGCGACUAAGCGUACACGGUGGAUGCCCUGGCAGUCAGAGGCGAUGAAGGACGUGCUAAUCUGCGAAAAGCGCCGGCGAGGUGAUAUGAACCUUUGACCCGGCGAUGUCCGAAUGGGGAAACCCAGUGCAAUCCGUUGCACUAUCGUUAACUGAAUACAUAGGUUAACGAGGCGAACCGGGGGAACUGAAACAUCUAAGUACCCCGAGGAAAAGAAAUCAACCGAGAUUCCCCCAGUAGCGGCGAGCGAACGGGGAGCAGCCCGGAGUCUGAAUCAGCUUGUGUGUUAGUGGAACGGUCUGGAAAGUCCGACGGUACAGGGUGAUAGUCCCGUACACGAAAGCACACUUGCUGUGAACUCGAAGAGUAGGGCGGGACACGUGGUAUCCUGUCUGAAUAUGGGGGGACCAUCCUCCAAGGCUAAAUACUCCUGACUGACCGAUAGUGAACCAGUACCGUGAGGGAAAGGCGAAAAGAACCCCGGCGAGGGGAGUGAAAAAGAACCUGAAACCGUGUACGUACAAGCAGUGGGAGCCUCUUUAUGGGGUGACUGCGUACCUUUUGUAUAAUGGGUCAGCGACUUAUAUUCUGUAGCAAGGUUAACCGUAUAGGGGAGCCGAAGGGAAACCGAGUCUUAACUGGGCGUUAAGUUGCAGGGUAUAGACCCGAAACCCGGUGAUCUAGCCAUGGGCAGGUUGAAGGUUGGGUAACACUAACUGGAGGACCGAACCGACUAAUGUUGAAAAAUUAGCGGAUGACCUGUGGCUGGGGGUGAAAGGCCAAUCAAACCGGGAGAUAGCUGGUUCUCCCCGAAAGCUAUUUAGGUAGCGCCUCGUGAACUCAUCUUCGGGGGUAGAGCACUGUUUCGGCUAGGGGGCCAUCCCGGCUUACCAACCCGAUGCAAACUACGAAUACCGAAGAAUGUUAUCACGGGAGACACACGGCGGGUGCUAACGUCCGUCGUGAAGAGGGAAACAACCCAGACCGCCAGCUAAGGUCCCAAAGUCAUGGUUAAGUGGGAAACGAUGUGGGAAGGCACAGACAGCCAGGAUGUUGGCUUAGAAGCAGCCAUCAUUUAAAGAAAGCGUAAUAGCUCACUGGUCGAGUCGGCCUGCGCGGAAGAUGUAACGGGGCUAAACCAUGCACCGAAGCUGCGGCAGCGACGCUUAUGCGUUGUUGGGUAGGGGAGCGUUCUGUAAGCCGUCGAAGGUGUCCUGUGAGGGGUGCUGGAGGUAUCAGAAGUGCGAAUGCUGACAUAAGUAACGAUAAAGCGGGUGAAAAGCCCGCUCGCCGGAAGACCAAGGGUUCCUGUCCAACGUUAAUCGGGGCAGGGUGAGUCGACCCCUAAGGCGAGGCCGAAAGGCGUAGUCGAUGGGAAACAGGUUAAUAUUCCUGUACUUGGUGUUACUGCGAAGGGGGGACGGAGAAGGCUAUGUCAGCCGGGCGACGGUUGUCCCGGUUUAAGCAUGUAGGCGGAGGUUCCAGGUAAAUCCGGUACCUUGUUAACGCUGAGGUGUGAUGACGAGGCACUACGGUGCUGAAGUGAUAAAUGCCCUGCUUCCAGGAAAAGCCUCUAAGCAUCAGGUAACACGAAAUCGUACCCCAAACCGACACAGGUGGUCAGGUAGAGAAUACCAAGGCGCUUGAGAGAACUCGGGUGAAGGAACUAGGCAAAAUGGUGCCGUAACUUCGGGAGAAGGCACGCUGAUAUGUAGGUGAAGUCCCUGCGGACGGAGCUGAAAUCAGUCGAAGAUACCAGCUGGCUGCAACUGUUUAUUAAAAACACAGCACUGUGCAAACACGAAAGUGGACGUAUACGGUGUGACGCCUGCCCGGUGCCGGAAGGUUAAUUGAUGGGGUUAGCGGCAACGCGAAGCUCUUGAUCGAAGCCCCGGUAAACGGCGGCCGUAACUAUAACGGUCCUAAGGUAGCGAAAUUCCUUGUCGGGUAAGUUCCGACCUGCACGAAUGGCGUAAUGAUGGCCAGGCUGUCUCCACCCGAGACUCAGUGAAAUUGAACUCGCUGUGAAGAUGCAGUGUACCCGCGGCAAGACGGAAAGACCCCGUGAACCUUUACUAUAGCUUGACACUGAACACUGGUCCUUGAUGUGUAGGAUAGGUGGGAGGCUUUGAAGCGUGGACGCCAGUCUGCGUGGAGCCAACCUUGAAAUACCACCCUUUAAUGGCUGGUGUUCUAACGUAGACCCGUAAUCCGGGUUGCGGACAGUGUCUGGUGGGUAGUUUGACUGGGGCGGUCUCCUCCCAAAGAGUAACGGAGGAGCACGAAGGUUGGCUAAUCCUGGUCGGACAUCAGGAGGUUAGUGCAAUGGCAUAAGCCAGCUUGACUGCGAGCGUGACGGCGCGAGCAGGUGCGAAAGCAGGUCAUAGUGAUCCGGUGGUUCUGAAUGGAAGGGCCAUCGCUCAACGGAUAAAAGGUACUCCGGGGAUAACAGGCUGAUACCGCCCAAGAGUUCAUAUCGACGGCGGUGUUUGGCACCUCGAUGUCGGCUCAUCACAUCCUGGGGCUGAAGUAGGUCCCAAGGGUAUGGCUGUUCGCCAUUUAAAGUGGUACGCGAGCUGGGUUUAGAACGUCGUGAGACAGUUCGGUCCCUAUCUGCCGUGGGCGCUGGAGAAUUGAGGGGGGCUGCUCCUAGUACGAGAGGACCGGAGUGGACGCAUCACUGGUGUUCGGGUUGUCAUGCCAAUGGCACUGCCCGGUAGCUAAAUGCGGAAAAGAUAAGUGCUGAAAGCAUCUAAGCACGAAACUUGCCCCGAGAUGAGUUCUCCCUGAGACUUUAAGUCUCCUGAAGGAACGUUGAAGACUACGACGUUGAUAGGUCGGGUGUGUAAGCGCAGCGAUGCGUUGAGCUAACCGAUACUAAUGAACCGUGAGGCUUAACCUU